UUCCAAAACGGAAGGCAAGGGCUUAAAAAAAAAGGAAUAGUGAGCAGACAAGGAUAGAAUUCAGCUGAGAGUCAAAAUAUGCCCUGUAAUCCUGUAGGAUUUCAAAUGAGAGCCAGAGGUCAAUGAAGGCUGGAAUGUUUAGGGAAGACUUCUGAGAGGAAGGGAGAUUUUAAUUGGGUCUUGCAGGAUUAAGUAGAAUUGGGAUAGGUGGGAGAGCUAGAUGGGCAGCAAGAAGAGAUAAAGAGAGGCAGAGGUAGGGAUGAACAUUAGACUAUUUUUGUUGUUUGUAAAGAGUUUGCGGCAAAAAAUUGGGAGCAAGAUAGAAAACUGACAUGGAGGAAACCAAGGACUCUAAGGUUUCCAGCAGGGAUUAUUUCCCUUGUUUUUCACCCAACCCUCUUUCCUAAGGACAGUUCAAAGUGGCCUCUACCUGGAGGAUGCCUUACUAUUGGGGAGGAGGAAGAAAUCUCUUCAUUAGGAGUGAGACACAUCAAAAAGAAAAGAUAGGAGGAACAAGUCUUCAGGAGAUUUCUCAACCAUAGGAGGAAACUGAGGCUUCAACCCAUGGAACAGUGGUCCAGAUGAUAGGAAGCUGGAGUUUAUUAAGUAGAGGACAACAUGAUUAGACCUGAGCUUCAAGAAAAUCACUUUUCUGGCUGAAUGAAGGAUGGGCUCCAGAGAAUUCAAGAUGAACAAAGACACUACUUACCUCUUGACAAAGAGGUUAUUUAAAAUGCAGCACAAGAUAUACAUUUUUGGACAUGGAAAAUGUGAAAAUUUGUUGUUUUGCCCAUGCAUAUUUGUUAUAAGAGUUUUCUUACUCUUUUUAAAAUAGGGAUGAGCAGUGGCAAGACACGGGGAGAAAACAAAUGCUCGUUAACUGAAAAUAAAAGAAUUACUAAUUCCUAGGGGACUUGGGGGGGGGGUUGUUUUUUGUUUGUAUUUUUCUCAUUUUUCAGGUAUUUCUUGAUCAUUGAACUCUGAUAAUAUAUCUACUUCAUGUGUAUGCCUGUGUAUUUAUCCAUGAAUUAUUUGAUAUUAAAAAGGGGUCUUGUAUCAGGGGAAAAACCCCUCAAACUAAACUUUCUCACUAUUCACAAUAUUUUUUCUUGACUCUUGAAAAGAAAGGAAUUUUACUGUCUGUUUUUAAUCCGCCUAAUAUUAAAUACAACCUGACACUAUCAAAU